rnacentral:rRNA from 1 species
GAUGAACGCUGGCGGCGUGCCUAAUACAUGCAAGUCGAGCGAACAGACGAGGAGCUUGCUCCUCUGACGUUAGCGGCGGACGGGUGAGUAACACGUGGAUAACCUACCUAUAAGACUGGGAUAACUUCGGGAAACCGGAGCUAAUACCGGAUAAUAUAUUGAACCGCGUGGUUCAAUAGUGAAAGACGGUUUUGCUGUCACUUAUAGAUGGAUCCGCGCCGCAUUAGCUAGUUGGUAAGGUAACGGCUUACCAAGGCAACGAUGCGUAGCCGACCUGAGAGGGUGAUCGGCCACACUGGAACUGAGACACGGUCCAGACUCCUACGGGAGGCAGCAGUAGGGAAUCUUGCGCAAUGGGCGAAAGCCUGACGGAGCAACGCCGCGUGAGUGAUGAAGGUCUUCGGAUCGUAAAACUCUGUUAUUAGGGAAGAACAAAUGUGUAAGUAACUAUGCACGUCUUGACGGUACCUAAUCAGAAAGCCACGGCUAACUACGUG